ensembl:lncRNA PDE7B-AS1 PDE7B antisense RNA 1
CGUGGGGGGGGACCUGGUGAGAGGUAAUUGAGUCAUGGGGGUGGGGUUUUCCCGUGCUGUUCUUGUGACAGUGAGUAAGUCUCAUGUGAUCUGCUGGUUUUAUAAAGGGCAGUUUCCCUGCACCUACUCUCUUGCCUGCCACCAUAUAAGACAUGCCUUUGCUCCUCCUUUGGCUUCCACCAUGAUUGUGAGGCCUCCCCAGCCAUGUGGAACUUUGCAGGUAUUUCUUUAUAGCAAUGUGAGAAGGAACUAAUAUACAAGUGGAAGGCUGUUUGGGACAAUAGCACUCAUCCAGCACUUCUCCUUCCUGUCACCAUGUGAAGAAGGACGUGUUUGCUUCCCCUUCUGCUAUGAUUGUAAGCUUCCUGAGGCCUCCCCAGCCCUGCAGAACUAAAUCCAAAGAAGCCACUAUGCUGAAAAUACUUUGAGUGGGUUAGAGUUUCGCUCAAGGAAGUGCUGUAGUAGAAAAUGGCCAUUUCUCUGUGCUGUGUUCAGAGUAAGAGACAUGGGUGAAAGAGUUAUCCGGAAUGGAAUGCUGAGGAGACCCUAAAGGGAAUUUCCGGGUGGAUGGCCAGCACUGUCACUCGAUGAGUGGAGGAUUGACAAACUUGCCAAAUACUGCAAGAAAAGAUGUUGCUGAUCACGGAUAGGAAAUACUCCAAGUCCCAGGAGAUAGUCUGUUCUUAGGAGACUUCCACACCAAGUCUGCUGAC